rnacentral:rRNA from 1 species
UACGUAGGUGGCAAGCGUUGUCCGGAUUUAUUGGGUUUAAAGGGUGCGUAGGCGGUCCUAUAAGUCAGUGCUGAAAUAUCCCGGCUUAACCGGGAGGGUGGCAUUGAUACUGCAGGACUUGAGUAAAGUUGAGGUUGGCGGAAUUGACGGUGUAGCGGUGAAAUGCUUAGAUAUCGUCAAGAACACCGAUAGUGAAGACAGCUAACUAAGCUUUAACUGACGCUGAGGCACGAAAGUGUGGGGAUCAAACAGGAUUAGAAACCCCUGUAGUCC